rnacentral:lncRNA from 1 species
AUCUAUGGCUCAAAUGAUCUAAUCUAAGUUACUUUUUGUUAAACACUAUUGUUAUAGUAGUAGGAUGCAAUCUUGAUGCGUCUUUACAAAUCAUAACCCUAAAAAAGAUGUCUUUACAAAUUAGAGAGCAUUAUGCCAUUAUGUAUUCAUACAAUUUUUUUUCUUUUUCUUACACGAGUUCUCUUUUUUGUCUUUUAGAAUAAAAUUAUCUGUUAAAAUGAAAUAGUUAACUUUUUUUUUCCACAGACAGGUUAUGCAAAUGAAAUAGAUUCAGACCUGCUUAAAAGGAUUUUUUUUUCUUGCUUACAUGAAUAACUAAAAUAAAA